CUUAUAGUUAGCAUAUGAACAUGUAAUUGAAUCUUGGCUUUUUAAAAAAGUCCAUUUAACCACUCUAUAUCUUUUAGUUGAAAAAUUUAAUUCAUUUAUAUUCAACCUAAUUGUUUAUAAGUAAGAAUUUGGUACUGACAUGUUGUUACUAGUUUUCUAGAUAUUUUGUAGAUUCUUUCUUUAUUUUUCACUUACAGCAUUCCUUUGUGGUAAGUGAAUUCCUCUGAUUGUUUUGACUUUAUGCUUUAUAUUUGUAGUAUUCAUUAAAUUUAUUUGCUUUGUGGUUACCAUUAGGCUUAUGAAGAACAUCUUAUAGGUUACAGGUGAUUUAAAACUGAUUAACAAUUUGAUUUGUUAAGAAACUGAAACAAAUACACUCUGCCUUAAACACCUUUGCUCCCUGCAUUUUGAGUUUUUGAUGUCUAAUUUACAUCUUUUUAUAUUUAUUAUCUCUUACCAAGUUAUUGUAGCCAUUAUUAUUCUCUUAAUCUCUCUACUAAAGGUAUAAGUGGUUUACCAUAUUAGGUUAUACUGUUUUGGGAUACUUAUUUUUACCUAUGGGUUUUGUACGUUUGGAUGCUUUUGUGUAACGUAUCAGAGUCCUUUUCUUUCAGUUCAAACAACUCCCUUUAGCAUUUCUCAUAACGCAGGUCAGGUUGUAACACAUUCCCUUGAAUUUUAUUUGUCUGGAAAUGCAGUUUUCUCUCCUUUAUCUCUGAAGUACAGCUUGCCAGAUAGAGUAUUCUUAUUUAAGAGGUUGCUUUUUUCCUUCAGCACCUUGAGUUUAUCAUCUUCCUCUUUCCUCUCUUGCAGGGUUUCUGCUGAGAAGUCCACUGCCAUACGUAUUGGAAUUCCCUUGUCACCAUUGUAGUUCUGUCCUCGUAUCAUCUGGGUAUCUGUUACUGCCACUGCCACCUGGAACCUGGGACAAGAAAGACUAAAAACAAGGAAGGUAAAUAAUCGUUAAGGAUUGUAGCAUACAACAGAAUCCUUUUAUCUACUGUACUAAAGAAAUAAUAAUUAUAAUUGCUUAUAGCCUGUUCAGUGGGAACUUGGAAAAAUUUUGGAAGUCUCUGUGUUUCAUACAGUUAUUUCAGGAGGGGGAUAUUCCCUGGUUCCUAAGUUCUUCUCAUGUUGAACAGAGAAACUUUCUAUAUUGAAGUAGUUAUCUUUUUCCUGGGAAUUUUCUGUUUUCUCUUAGUGGUGACUUGUAAAACACAUAUUAAGCAAUGUAAGAAAAGGUGGGGAUAAAGGAGUCAUGAGAAGAAAUGGGAAUAGAAGGAGUCUUGGUUUGUAAAGCACACAAGACAGAUAAUAUUCUCUGAUUCCAUUUGCUUCCCACCCUCACUUCCUGGAAUACAUCAGCAUUCUGACUGGUCUAUGCAUCCACUAAUUGGAUAGAGCACUGUAACUGUAUGGGCAUUUUUAAGAAGCAUUGAUGAUCACUCUGGAAACUGUGGUUAGAGCUUCUGAAGCUGAAGUGCUCAGUAAAGAAACAAAUAUACUUAAUAUAAUACACUUAAUCUGUUUGUUCUAAUCUGUUUGUUCUAAUUAGCAACAUCCUUGCAAGAGGUUGAUUACUGCUUUGACAGUAAUCUAACUCUGUAUCCUCCAGAUAAUAAAACCAG
ensembl:lncRNA